ensembl:miRNA
GCUGGGGCUUCGGGACCCUCCUCAUCCCAGGAUGAUGAACCUGUGCCAGCUGUGUGACCCUGGGGAAGUUACUCAGCCUCUCUGGGUCUUAGGAUGACGGCACUCACCUCCUCCAUGGUUGUGAGGAGAGUUCUGCUCUCCUUGG